AGUCGAACGAAGUAGCAAUACUUAGUGGCAGACGGGUGAGUAACAUGUAGGUAUCUGCCCUUUGGCCUGGAAUAACACGAGGAAACUUGUGCCAAUACCGGAUAAGUCUUUACGGAGAAAGCUUUAUGCACCAUUGGAUGAGCCUGCACUUGAUUAGUUUGUUGGUGGGGUAAUGGCCUACCAAGACUGUGAUCAAUAGCUGAUUUGAGAGGAUGAUCAGCCACAUUGGGACUGAGACACGGCCCAAACUCCUACGGGAGGCAGCAGUGGGGAAUCUUGCACAAUGGAGGAAACUCUGAUGCAGCGAUGCCGCGUGAGUGAAGAAGGCCUUUGGGUUGUAAAGCUCUUUCGUCGGGGAAGAAAAUGACUGUACCCGAAUAAGAAGGUCCGGCUAACUUCGUGCCAGCAGCCGCGGUAAUACGAAGGGACCUAGCGUAGUUCGGAAUUGCUGGGCUUAAAGAGUUCGUAGGUGGUUGAAAAAGUAAGUGGUGAAAUCCCAGAGCUUAACUCUGGAACUGCCAUUAAAACUUUUCAGCUAGAGUAUGAUAGAGGAAAGCAGAAUUUCUAGUGUAGAGGUGAAAUUCGUAGAUAUUAGAAAGAAUACCAAUUGCGAAGGCAGCUUUCUGGAUCAUUACUGACACUGAGGAACGAAAGCAUGGGUAGCGAAGAGGAUUAGAUACCCUCGUAGUCCAUGCCGUAAACGAUGUGUGUUAGACGUUGGAAAUUUAUUUUCAGUGUCGCAGCGAAAGCGAUAAACACACCGCCUGGGGAGUACGACCGCAAGGUUAAAACUCAAAUGAAUUGA
rnacentral:rRNA from 1 species